ensembl:ncRNA ZK381.36 ncRNA
UUUGAUUCUUAAAAAUAAAUUUAAAUUACAACUACCAACAAAGAUUCUAAGACGGUCAAGAGGGUAGCAGUAGGGGCAUACCAUCUUGUAUUUACAUAACUAUAGAAACACAUGGAGAAACUGAACCACCGGCUGGAGG